CCAAGGUUCGACUUGAGCGCCAGCGAGAGAGCGUUGCCGCAGGCAACGACCCGAAGGGCGAAGCGCGCAGCGCUGAGUAAUCCUUCCCCCACCACCA
rnacentral:sRNA from 1 species